rnacentral:rRNA from 1 species
CGUGCUUAACACAUGCAAGUCGUACGAGAACGCUUCAGCUUGCUGAGCUAGUAAGUGGCGCACGGGUGAGUAACGCGUGGGUAAUCUACCUUCGAAUUGGGGAUAACGUUGCGAAAGUGACGCUAAUACCGAAUAAUAUCAUAAGGACUUUGGUUCUUUUGAUCAAAGAUGGCCUCUCCUUGGAAGCUAUUGUUUGAGGAUGAGCCCGCGUCCCAUUAGCUUGUUGGUGGGGUAAUGGCCUACCAAGGCAGCGAUGGGUAGCUGGUCUGAGAGGAUGAUCAGCCACACUGGAACUGACACACGGUCCAGACUCCUACGGGAGGCAGCAGUGAGGAAUUUUGCGCAAUGGGGGAAACCCUGACGCAGCAACGCCGCGUGAGUGAUGAAGGCUUUCGGGUCGUAAAGCUCUGUCAAGUGGGAAGAACUUUCAUGGGGUUAAUAUCCUCAUGUUUUGACGGUACCACUGAAGGAAGCACCGGCUAACUCCGUGCCAGCAGCCGCGGUAAUACGGGGGGUGCAAGCGUUAUUCGGAUUUACUGGGCGUAAAGCGCGCGUAGGCGGCCGUUUAAGUCAGAUGUGAAAGCCCGGGGCUCAACCCCGGAAGUGCAUUUGAUACUAUUCGGCUUGAGUAUGGGAGAGGGAAGUGGAAUUCCUGGUGUAGAGGUGAAAUUCGUAGAUAUCAGGAGGAACACCGGUGGCGAAGGCGACUUCCUGGACCAAUACUGACGCUGAGGCGCGAAGGCGUGGGGAGCAAACAGGAUUAGAUACCCUGGUAGUCCACGCAGUAAACGGUGAUCACUAGGUGUAGCGGGUAUUGACCCCUGCUGUGCCGCAGCUAACGCAUUAAGUGAUCCGCCUGGGGAGUACGGCCGCAAGGUUAAAACUCAAAGGAAUUGACGGGGGCCCGCACAAGCGGUGGAGCAUGUGGUUUAAUUCGACGCAACGCGAAGAACCUUACCGGGGUUUGAACUGUACCGGCAGCAUCCAGAGAUGGAUGGUUUCCUUCGGGAACUGGUAUAGAGGUGCUGCAUGGCUGUCGUCAG